GGCUCCGUAGUUCAACUGAAUAGAAUUCCUGACUACGGAUCAGGCGGUUACAGGUUUGAAUCCUGUCGGAGUCA
rnacentral:tRNA from 1 species